rnacentral:rRNA from 1 species
UAAUACGUAGGGUGCGAGCGUUAAUCGGAAUUACUGGGCGUAAAGCGUGCGCAGGCGGUUGUGUAAGACAGAUGUGAAAUCCCCGGGCUUAACCUGGGCACUGCAUUUGUGACUGCACAGCUAGAGUACGGCAGAGGGGGGUGGAAUUCCGCGUGUAGCAGUGAAAUGCGUAGAUAUGCGGAGGAACACCGAUGGCGAAGGCAGCCCCCUGGGCCUGUACUGACGCUCAUGCACGAAAGCGUGGGGAGCAAACAGG